rnacentral:ncRNA from 1 species
CUAAGUGCUGUGUAUGUAGCUCCGAAACAUUUCUGAAAAGAUGACCACAGUGGUGAUAUCCCAGAGGAGGAUGUAAAGAAUAGAGUAGUGCUGCUUGGUAGUGCAGUAUGAAGAGGAGGUAGAAACUUCUAAAGCUAAAUACAGACGGAUACCGAUAGAGAAGAAGUAGUGCGAACGAAAGUUGAAAAGAUCUCAUCUAGAGAAUGAAAAGUGAAAGUAUUAGGGCGUAAGCUGAUGACAUCAGACCCGUAUUGAAACACGGACCAAGGAGACUUUGAGUAUAGCGAGGCGAAGGAUGUGAAGUCCCCACCCGCGAGAAAUCUACAAGUUAUACUGAUAGGACCCGAAAGGCAGUGAACUAUACCUGCUCUGCUUGACGCCACGGCAAACCGUGGUUGAGGAGCUAAGUCGUAUUGAUGUUCAACUCAUUGACAGGAAGUGGGUAUAGGGGCGAAAGACCAAUCGAACUGCCUGGUAGCUGGUUCCGGCCGAAAUGUCUCUCAGGACAGCGGUGUCUGCGAAUAGGAAGAUGCGGUAGAGAGGAUGUCGACCUUGUCAACAAACUCCGAAUGCGUCAUUGUGUUGCGAUUGCAUCCAACAUGAUCAUCUAUAAGACACUAGUGGGCGCCUUGUGGUAAGCAUGCGGCGCAAAAAGGGAUGAACCUAGCAGUGGGGUAAGGUGCCUAAAGGAAAACAAAGAGAAAAAGCGUUUGGCAGAUUAGGACAGUGGGGCGGUGGCCAUGGAGGUCGGCAUCCGCUAAGAAACGUGUACAACGUCCCACCGAAUCUGC